rnacentral:misc_RNA from 1 species
UAGCUCCGAUAUGAGACGAGAUCUGCAGGGCAGUUGAGACGUCUUAUUUUCGAACGCAUAUUGCGCCCUGGUGUUCCAAUACCCAGGGCACUUCUGUCUCAGGGUCGUUUGCCUGAAAUAGCCUCGGUGAGACUGGAUGCCCGCUUCGCCUUCGGGUGUCGCGACGCAUACAGAGCGCGGUCGACUUCGGUCCCGUUGUCAAGGCGAGACUACGUGUCUCGUCAUCUCGCUGAGGAUCGCUAUAGACGUGUGCACGCACCGUCGCGAUUGUGCUACGGGGACCCUCGCCGGUCCUUGCUCACUACGCUGAGCUUAGCCGUACGCACUGCAAACUGAGUGUGAGUGACGAGAGCCUCGGCUCCCAUCACGUACCCAUCACACGACCUGAGACAGAGGAGAC